rnacentral:lncRNA from 1 species
GGUGAAGCUGCAGAUUUGACCAGUGAUCUCACCAGGCCCUGGCCCCCAGCGCAGGUCCGGGGGGAGCGAGAGAGAGCUGUGGGGGGGCAGCACUGACCGCCUGUUGGUGUUUGGUAGGUGGCAAUUGCACCAUCCCGGUCUGGGGAGUCGCCACUGCGGCAGGUGUGGGGUUUAUCAUGCUGGUUCUGAUCCUGGUGCUGUCCAUCUGCCUGUGCCGGGCCAGGAGACGAGUAAAGAAGCUGGUGGCUUGGAAGGGCGGCACAGAGCCGGAGGACCCCGACGUACAUUACGCCUCCCUGCAGAAUUUGGCCUCAGCGCAGGUCGGGGAGCAGCAGCUGGAGCCCCCCGACCCCCAGCACACAGACUAUGCCACCGUGGCCGAA